rnacentral:misc_RNA from 1 species
GUUUCUAGUGAAGUACACAAUACUUGAAACACCACUUCCUUGUGGUUAACUCCAUUGGCUUGAUUCAAUUUAUGAUCUCUCUACUCAACACCACGAACUCCCAAUAAGAUGUGAAUCUUUGGAAAUUGACGCCAUAUAUCCAUUCUUAAUUGCUUUAUAACGUUCAUCUGCUCUUCAAUUGCUCAAUAAACAGUGUGUAACCCCUGAUCACUGUCACGAGGUUGAUUGCUACAGCCAUCACCAUCAUUGGCCAUCGUAAUGAGGGUAAAAUCUCUGUUUUGAUACCACUUGACGCAGUCUGUAGCGCGGAAAAGGAUUGAC